GACGAACGCUGGCGGCGUGCUUAACACAUGCAAGUCGAACGGAAAGGCCCUGCUUUUGUGGGGUGCUCGAGUGGCGAACGGGUGAGUAACACGUGAGUAACCUGCCAUUGACUUUGGGAUAACUUCAGGAAACUGGGGCUAAUACCGGAUAGGAGCUCCUGCUGCAUGGUGGGGGUUGGAAAGUUUCGGCGGUUGGGGAUGGACUCGCGGCUUAUCAGCUUGUUGGUGGGGUAGUGGCUUACCAAGGCUUUGACGGGUAGCCGGCCUGAGAGGGUGACCGGCCACAUUGGGACUGAGAUACGGCCCAGACUCCUACGGGAGGCAGCAGUGGGGAAUAGUGCACAAUGGGCGGAAGCCUGAUGCAGCAACGCCGCGUGCGGGAUGACGGCCUUCGGGUUGUAAACCGCUUUCGCCUGUGACGAAGCGUGAGUGACGGUAAUGGGUAAAGAAGCACCGGCUAACUACGUG
rnacentral:rRNA from 1 species